rnacentral:rRNA from 1 species
UACGUAGGGUGCAAGCGUUGUCCGGAAUUAUUGGGCGUAAAGAGCUCGUAGGCGGUCUGUCGCGUCGGACGUGAAAACCCAGGGCUCAACCCUGGGCCUGCGUUCGAUACGGGCAGACUAGAGUUCGGUAGGGGAGGACUGGAAUUCCUGGUGUAGCGGUGAAAUGCGCAGAUAUCAGGAGGAACACCGGUGGCGAAGGCGGCCCUCUGGACGAGUACUGACGCUGAGGCGCGAAAGCGUGGGGAUCAAACAGG